rnacentral:rRNA from 1 species
AUUGAACGCUGGCGGCAGGCCUAACACAUGCAAGUCGAGCGGAGCGUCGGACGGGUGAGUAAUGCCUAGGAAUCUGCCUGGUAGUGGGGUAUAACUUCCGGAAACGGGCGCUAAUACCGCAUACUAUCAGAUCAGCCUAGGUCGGAUUAGCUAGUUGGUGGGGUAAAGGACUACCAGGGCGACGAUCCGUAACUGGUCUGAGAGGAUGAUCAGUCACACUGGAACGGAGAAACGGUCCAGAGUCCUACGGGAGGCAGCAGUGGGGAAUAGUGGACAAUGGGCGAAAGCCUGAGCAAGGCAUGCCGCGUGUGUGAAGAAGGUAUUCGGAGUGUAAAGAACUUUAAGUUGGGAGGCGGUACCAACAGAAUAAGCACAGGCUAACUUCGUGCCAGCAGCCGCGGUAAUAC